rnacentral:rRNA from 1 species
AUUGAACGCUGGCGGCAGGCCUAACACAUGCAAGUCGAGCGAGCGGCGGACGGGUGAGUAAUGUCUGGGAAACUGCCUGAUGGAGGGGGAUAACUACUGGAAACGGUAGCUAAUACCGCAUACCAUCAGAUGUGCCCAGAUGGGAUGAGCUAGUAGGUGGGGUAACGGCUCACCUAGGCGACGAUCCCUAGCUGGUCUGAGAGGUUGACCAGCCACACUGGAACUGAGACACGGACCAGAAUCCGACGGGAGGCAGCAGUGGGGAAUAUGGCGCAAUGGGCGAAAGCCUGAUGCAGCAAUGCCGCGUGUGUGAAGAAGGCCUUCGGGUUGUAAAGCACUUUCAGCAGGGAGGCGUUACCCGCAGAAGAAGCACCGGCUAACUACGUGCCAGCCGCCGCGGUAAUUC